CCCAGGUGUUCCCACUCAGAGACAAGGACUGAACACAGACCACUCACCAUGGAGUUUAUUCUCAACUGGGUUUUCCUUGUGGCUCUUUUAAAAGGAGUCCAUUGUGAUGUGCAGCUGGUGGAGUCUGGGGGAGGCUUGGUCCAGCCUGGGGGAUCCCUGAAACUCUCCUGUGUAGGCUCUGGAUUCACAUUCAGUAAUCAUGCCAUGGGCUGGGUCCGCCAGGCUCCAGAGAAGGGGCUUGAGUGGGUCUCAUCCAUUAGCUAUCAUGGUGGAUACACAACCUAUGCAGACUCCGUGAAGGGCCAAUCCACCACCUCCAGAGACAAUGCCAAGAACCUGAUGAAUCUGCUAAUUAACAGCCUUAAAGCUGAGGACACAGGCAUAUACUACUGUGUGAGACACACAGUAAGGAGAUGUCAGAGUGAAACUAGACAAAAACUUCCCUGCAUGGACUUUGGGCUGAAAUCAACUGCAGGUGACAGGCAGGAUUCACUGUUCAGAAUCAAGCCCAGAGGCAGCUGCAAAUGGAGGUUAAGGGCUGAUUUCCUGUCAAGGUUUGUGAUUUCCUCCCCACCUGAGAGUUUCCCCAGGGAACUUCUCUAA